GUUACCACGUGUUCGCGGCAAUUAAUGCAUUUCUUGUUUUCAAUAAUACUCUACCUUGCCACAAGAAAAAAAAUGAAGUGACAUUUAUAAACAUUUCCGUGUUUUGCAAUUGCGUUUCUUUAAAAAAUUUAAAUGAUUGAUAAUUUAUCGCCCUUUGAAUCGACGCGCCAUUUGUAAACAUCGAAGGUCGCGGAGAAAAUGAAACUACCGAAACAAUUAUUUGAUGAUUUAUUUCGAUUGUAUAAAGGAUGACAGUUAGCGAAUCUCAAGAUCAACCACUGAGGAUUGUUUGGCUUGAUGCAGUGACCUUAAACAUGUUAAAUGAUUUUCCAGGAAGGUCUAUACACAACAAGCUGAAUUUUAUGGGGUGAUGAAAGAACUAUCAAUAUUUAAAUGGGAAUGAAACAGAAGGAUUUAAUAUGUUCUACUGAUCAUCCAGCUGAAAUCAUGCCUGUGGAAUAGAGUGCAUGUCACAAAAACUGAUAUGAGCAAAUAACUCCAUAUUGCACAAAUAAGGUCAUGUUUCCUGCCCUCAUGGCCUGAAAAAGUUAAAGAUUCUAGUUCAAAUUACAAAUGUGUUUCAAGAAAAUGUAAAACUUAGUCAACUGUGAGAAAUAUUGGGUUAAAGUAGUGUUCUGAUGUCAUGACAGCUGUGAAGUUGUUUGAGAAGCACUAUCCUAAUUGUUCUAACAAUACAGAAUUUAACUUAUAAAUUUUCCAAAACUGCAUGCAUGAAAUACUAAGACAUGUCUAUUGAAUGAAUCCUAGUUGUUUCAAAACUACAACAUGUGUGACAUUAAAGCACAACCUUUGGAGGAAACAUUUUUACAAUAAAAACUGCCUUGCCAGUGUGAGUGUAGGAAGGAUUUUUCCAGAAACGGCAGAAAACUACCAGUAUAGCAGAAAAUAUUUGUUACUGGCUGAAUAUAAUAUAUUUUAUUUCAAGAAUUAAUCAUGUUAAUCUAUGGUUAUAAUUGUGUUAAAAGAUAUUUUUACAUGACAUGACCUUUGCAGAAAUAGCUAAUUUGUUUGCAAAACAUUGUGAGUUGCCAUGGUAACACAAAUUUGACUUAAAUUUAGAUUUGUUUGAUUAUGUAAACAUCAUGUGUCUUGUUUAUAUUCUGCUAAUCAGACUAUGUUCUGCAAGAAAAUAUCUUUUAUGUGUAACCAUCAACAAAACAUGUUAUAACACAAAUCUGCCAUAAAAUGGCAGAGCUGUAAUGCAGGUAGGCAUAUCAGGAAAAUAUGUAGUUCUCAAAGACAAGUUAUAUUACAUAAAAUGAUGUUUGUUUUUUAUAAAUGAUAAUAAUUGACCAUUUGUGGUGUAAAACAAAUGUAUACUGAACAGAUGCUAAAUGAAUGUUCUGAUUCUUUCUGGAAAAUUUACAAAAAAAUCUAUUAUUUUAAGAAAAUAGUGCAUUGUUGCCAUGGUAACAUUAAUUUAACUUUUAUCAUCAUAUGUAAACAACAUCUUUCUUGUUUAUAUGUUAUAUAUGUUAAGCUGUAUUAUGUUAGUGAAUAUAUUUUCAUAUGUAAUAAUUGCAUCAACAAAGCACUAUGUUAUUACACAAGCCUGCCUUAAAAUGGCAAUAAUUGUAACUGAGAGAGGUGUAUCUGCAAAUUAUGUAUUUCUCAAACCAUAUUACAUUAAUUUUCAUGGAAUGAGGUCUACUCUCUUACUUUUAAAUAAGAAAACAGACAGCUUUUGAUGUAAAUAUAUGGAAAAACACUUCCAAUAUAUAUUCAAUAUAUUACAAAGAAAUUGCCAAAAAUGUUAGUAUUUUUGUAAGAAAAUACCACAUUGUUGCCAUGGUAAUGUUAGUAUUUUUGUAAGAAAAUACCACAUCGUUGCCAUGGUAAUGAUUCACUGAUCAGUAUAUCUAAGUCUUUUAAAAUUUUAGCAAACUCACAGUUGAUAAUAACAGUCUAAUUAUUAUAUUUUCUUGCCUGAUUUUCUUUCUUACUGUUUAAUAGAUAAGGUGUCUAUAAUAAUAAGAUUAAUGUCCUAGUUUUUUGGGAUGUUGUCUAAUUUGAUAUCAAAUAAAUAAUUCUGUAUCUUGUUCAAAAGAAUGUCAUAAAACAGUUGUCUGUAAACUGUUUGCACACUAGAAAAAGUAAAUUGUGUAUUUAUUUCACAUUCUAUGUAAUCUGUUGCUAGAUUCACCAAGAGACUGUUUAACAAGAGGUUAACCAACAGUGUUGCUAUAGAAACGAUUUUUAGAACAUAAAUAUUUUUAUACUACAUGAAAGAAAGAGACAAAAAGAAACACAUUCCAUUAAUUGCAUGUUGCUUUUGUUAUUUUAUCAUGUAUUUAAUCUUGAUAUUAUUUAAAUAUGGUGUCAUUAUUAAGAUAUACUGUCUCAAUUUUGAUACAGUUAGACAAAAACAUGGUGUCCGAAAAGUGGUAAUAUCUUCAUGACAACGACUGAUUUUUGUUCUCAAAUUGAAGAUUUUUACUCAGAACGUGUCAGUCUGUCAGAUUAGCCCAAAACCCCAUUUUUGAUCAAAAUUGCAUUUGGACCCAAAAUCUCAUGCUCUGUCACAUUAUGUCAGUUACCUUAAACUGUUGUUACCUACUGAACAGCUUUUGGCAUUUGCAUUUCUGAUCUAAAUACGAAAACGUACAGACUACAUGAUCUAAAAUUAUGGUAUUUUGCAGUACAAUACUAUGGAGUC